CACUGUGCGCCAUGUUAUUGUUUCGGUGAAAAGAAUUUCUACAAUGGCGGACUUACACAAAAUACUCUUAUUGUUAAUUUUGCUGUGUUUAAAUGCUUACUUAUACACACAAAUAUAUAAUAAAUAUACACACAAAGUUACUGUCCCUCCACACAUAGGACUCAGUUCUGCUUCUAUGCGCCAUCUUUGUUUACUCUUUCCCACCGAGGCUUCUAGACUUCGAUUGGCCAAAAUUUCUACACAGUUAGGAAUAUAUCACCACCUGUUGUUUUGGCACGUUCCUGGCAGUGUUUUCCUUCAUUUUCCUUCAGUUUUCAAAAAUACCUGUGUACGUGUGGAUGUAGCCUGAAGCUUCUGUGAUAAAGAUCAAUGACAGGUUUCAUUAUUUGUUUCAGGUUCAUGAAUACACAAAGUUAACCAUUCAGAACCUUCAGCUUGCUGUUUACUACAGUUUCAAAGGCACUGCUGCUCAGGGGUUCCACAGACAGGAAGGUGAAACUCAUAGCUUCAAUCACUUUACCCAGAAGUGCCGCUGGCUGAGCGGCUUAUUGGUGCUGAACAAUCCCCCUCUUCAGCCUAACUGGAAAAAUCAUGAUCCAGGGCAAGAUGCUUGGAACUUUUUCCCACAAAAGAUCACAGCUGAAUCUGCCACAUCACUCUGCCAGGGCCACUCUGAAAAUGUUGUUGGAUAUAGUUUGACAUUCCAGCAUCCAGACGUGAACCAGAGUGAAGAUAAAAUGAUGAUGUGAGUUCCAACCAAGCAUGUCUUUUAUCAUGUCUUCAUUCUCUUACCACAACCGGUCGCUGAAGAUGGCCGCCCCUCUCUGAGUCUGGUUCUGCCUGAGGUUUUCUUUUUUCCCUUCCCACUUCUCCCAAAGUGCUUGCUAUAUGGGACGUAUGAUUGUUGGGUUUUUCUUUGUAUGUAUUAUUGUAGGGUCUACCUUACAAUAUAAGGCAAAUGCUGUUGUGAUUUGACACAGUAUAAAUAAAACUGAAUUGAACAUGAACACCUGUGCCCCUCUGUUGACACGGCCCCCUGAGCUCCCUGCACCACCUCACCACUGCAGCAGGCCAGAAGCCACAAGUUCAAAAAAAAAUUCCCUUAACUGACAGUAGCACUAACUUUGUCAAAGUGGAGGGUGUAGUUUGGUAACACAAUCUGUCCUCAGGUUGGGUGUUGUUAUAUUUGAAAUUAUCUUUUGCUCAUUAUUUCCUCAACUUUUAAACAGCAAGGAUUAAAGUGCUUCAAAAACUGAAGAGAAAACUGCUGUAUAUGAAUAAAGCUGAAUAGAAAACAAGUGUUUAUUCUGCUUUUGCUGUUAAAGGAACUUAAGUCAAAUAAACUACUUAUGACUACAACUAGUCAGGGACUCAAAAUGGAGGACAGAGGAGAGUCAGGUCACGAUGAGUUAGGCAAAUCAGUCCCACAUGUCUUAGUAAAAUACAAAUGAUUUGAAUUUCAAAUUUGAUGUAAAGUUUGUGCUCAUGUAAAAUUUGCAGUCUCUUCUUUGUGUUGUGUGCUGCUUCAGUGCCAAGAUAACCCCAGAGCAAAUAA